AAAGAUUAAGCCAUGCAUGUCUAAGUAUGAACUAUCUAUUGUGAAACCGCGAAUGGCUCAUUACAACAGCCAUAGUUUACUGGAUAUAUUCCAUUACAUGGAUAACUGUGGUAAUUCUACAGCUAAUACACGCAUCAAAACCCUGACUUCGGAAAGGGUGCGUUAGUUACUUCAAACUGACUAGACUUCGGUCUGGCUCCAAGUGAAAUUGAACUAUUUAGCUGAUCGCACGGUCUAAGCACCGGCGACAUAUCCUUCAAAUGUCUGCCUUAUCAACUGUCGAUGGUAGAUUAUGCGCCUACCAUGGUUGUAACGGGUAACGGAGAAUCAGGGUUUGAUUCCGGAGAGGGAGCCUGAGAAAUGGCUACCACAUCCAGGAAGGCAGCAGGCACGCAAAUUACCCACUCCCGGCACGGGGAGGUAGUGACGAAAAAUAACAAGCUGGUCUCUUUGAGUUCCGGCAUUGUAAUGGGAACAACUUAAAUCAUUUAUCGAGGAUCUAUUGGAGGGCAAGUCUGGUGCCAGCACCGCGGUAAUUCCAGCUCCAAUAGCGUAUAUUAAAGUUGUUGCGGUUAAAAAGCUCGUAGUUGGAUCUACGAUCAAGGCUUGUGGUCGUCCUUCUCGGAUGUACUGCUUAGUCUGGUCGAAUUAUCUGGUGAACGAUUGAUGCUCUUCACUGAGUGUCUCUAGUUGCUGGAACGUUUACCUUGAAAAAAUUGAAGUGCUCAAAGCAGGCUUACGCCUGAACAUUGUUGCAUGGGAUAAUCGAAUAGGACUUCGGUUCUAUUUUGUUGGUUUCGGAACGCGAAGUAAUGAUUAAUAGGGACAGACGGGGGCAUUCGUAUUGCUGCGUUAGAGGUGAAAUUCUUGGAUCGUAGCAAGACGACCUACUGCGAAAGCAUUUGCCAAGAAUGUUUUCAUUAAUCAAGAACGAAAGUUAGAGGUUCGAAGGCGAUCAGAUACCGCCCUAGUUCUAACCGUAAACGAUGUUAACUAGCGACUCGCAGGUGUUACUUUAACGGCCCUGCGAGGAGCUCCCGGGAAACCUAAGUGUUCGAAUUCCGGGGGAAGUAUGGUUGCAAAGCUGAAACUUAAAGGAAUUGACGGAAGGGCACCACCAGGAGUGGAGCUUGCGGCUUAAUUUGACUCAACGCGGGGAAACUCACUUGGUCAGGACACUGUAAGGAUUGACAGAUUGAAAGCUCUUUCUUGAUUCGGUGGAUGGUGGUGCAUGGCCGUUCUUAGUUGGUGGAGUGAUUUGUCUGGUUAAUUCCGAUAACGAGCGAGA
rnacentral:rRNA from 1 species